rnacentral:rRNA from 1 species
UACGGGGGGAGCAAGCGUUGUUCGGAUUUACUGGGCGUAAAGGGCGCGUAGGCGGUCAGCACAAGUCAGUUGUGAAAUCUCCGGGCUUAACUCGGAAAGGUCAACUGAUACUGUGCGACUAGAGUGCGGAAGGGGCAACUGGAAUUCUCGGUGUAGCGGUGAAAUGCGUAGAUAUCGAGAGGAACACCUGCGGCGAAGGCGGGUUGCUGGGCCGACACUGACGCUGAUGCGCGAAAGCGUGGGGAGCGAACAGG